rnacentral:rRNA from 1 species
UACGUAGGGGGCAAGCGUUGUCCGGAAUCAUUGGGCGUAAAGAGCGCGUAGGCGGCCCAGUAAGUCCGCUCUGAAAGUCAGGGGCUCAACCCCUGAAUGCGGGUGGAUACUGCUGGGCUAGAGUCCGGAAGAGGCGAGUGGAAUUCCUGGUGUAGCGGUGAAAUGCGCAGAUAUCAGGAGGAACACCGAUGGCGAAGGCACUCUACUGGGCUAUUACUGACACUCAGAGACGAAAGCUAGGGGAGCAAAUGGG